UCCAGACUCCUACGGGAGGCAGCAGUGGGGAAUAUUGCACAAUGGGGGAAACCCUGAUGCAGCGACGCCGCGUGAGUGAAGAAGUAUUUCGGUAUGUAAAGCUCUCUCAGCAGGGAAGAUAAUGACGGUACCUGACUAAGAAGCCCCGGCUAACUACGUGCCAGCAGCCGCGGUAAUACGUAGGGGGCAAGCGUUAUCCGGAUUCACUGGGUGUAAAGGGAGCGUAGACGGCCAGGCAAGCCUGGAGUGAAAGCCCGGGGCCCAACCCCGGGACUGCUCUGGGAACUGUCCGGCUGGAGUGCGGGAGGGGCAGGCGGAAUUCCUGGUGUAGCGGUGAAAUGCGUAGAUAUCAGGAGGAACACCGGCGGCGAAGGCGGCCUGCUGGACCGCGACUGACGUUGAGGCCCGAAAGCGUGGGGAGCGAACAGGAUUAGAUACCCCUGUA
rnacentral:rRNA from 1 species